rnacentral:rRNA from 1 species
UACGUAGGGGGCAAGCGUUGGUCCGGAAUCAUUGGGCGUAAAGAGCGCGUAGGCGGCCCCAGUAAGUCCGCUCUGAAAGUCAGGGGGCUCAACCCCUGAAUGCGGGUGGAUACUGCUGGGCUAGAGUCCGGAAGAGGCGAGUGGAAUUCCUGGUGUAGCGGUGAAAUGCGCAGAUAUCGGGAAGAACACCCGUGGCGAAGGCGAUCACCUGGGGAUGGUUCUGACGCUGAGGAGCGAAAGCUAGGGGAGCAAACAGGGG